rnacentral:piRNA from 1 species
AGUUCAUAACCACCUCCCUUC